AGAACGAACGCUGGCGGCAUGCCUAAUACAUGCAAGUCGAACGAACUCUUCGGAGUUAGUGGCGCACGGGUGCGUAACGCGUGGGAAUCUGCCCCUUGGUUCGGAAUAACAGUUGGAAACGACUGCUAAUACCGGAUGAUGACGAAAGUCCAAAGAUUUAUCGCCAAGGGAUGAGCCCGCGUAGGAUUAGCUAGUUGGUGAGGUAAAGGCUCACCGAAGGCAACGAUCCUUAGCUGGUCUGAGAGGAUGAUCAGCCACACUGGGACUGAGACACGGCCCAGACUCCGUACGGGAGCGAGCGAGUGGGGGAAUAUUGGAACGUAAGUGGGCGACAAGCCGUAGAGUCCCAAGCGAAUGGCCGCGUGUGUAGGAAGAAGGCCUUUAGGGUUGUAAAGUCCUAACGUUUAAGGUUAA
rnacentral:rRNA from 1 species